rnacentral:rRNA from 1 species
UACGUAGGGUGCAAGCGUUGUCCGGAAUUAUUGGGCGUAAAGAGCUCGUAGGCGGUCUGUCGCGUCGGCUGUGAAAACCUGGGGCUUAACUCCGGGCCUGCAGCCGAUACGGGCAGACUAGAGUUCGGCAGGGGAGACUGGAAUUCCUGGUGUAGCGGUGAAAUGCGCAGAUAUCAGGAGGAACACCAGUGGCGAAGGCGAGUCUCUGGACAUUUCCUGACGCUGAGGCACGAAAGCCAGGGGAGCAAACGGG